rnacentral:misc_RNA from 1 species
AAUACGGACCGCACACGAGUCAAGUUUUGUUUAGUUUUGAGAGGUCUACUCUCACUUUUGUUCUUUGAAAACUGAAUAAUAUCUAUAAUUUUCUAAUUUUAAUUAAUCAUAAUUAAACCGAGAGAAAACCGCGUAAUUUUAAAGAGUUAAACAAGAUUAGUUCAAAAUAAUCGCAAUACUCAAUUAAUCGCUUUACCGUAGGUAAAGUUAGGUUAAGUUAGGAAGGGCGCAUGGUGGAUGCCUUGGCUCCAUGCACUUCUAACUUAACUAACUUUACUAGGUAAAGCGAUUAAUU